AUGUACGCGUUGUAUCCCUCAUAUUUUGGCACGCCUCCCAUAUUUUUGCACCAUAACCUCCAUAUGCCGUUCCAAGAAAACGAGGCAUCAAUGCCGCAAACUGAGAAUGUUCAUGCAGUACAAGCUGAGAAUCAAGAUGCAAGCAGUGCUAGAAAGUUUGAACAUGUUAAUGUUGGGCACAAUGUGAAAGUGCAACCUCCUACCAAAAUUAGCCUGGCCAAGUCCAUUGAUAAGGAUGAAAUGAGGAAACUUUUGAUUAAAAGAGCGAAGAGCUGUUUGACCGAGAAGCUGAGGGAGAUUAGAAGUAACAAGAAUGGUUCUGGUAAUAACACAGAUGCUGAAAAAGAAGAUGAUCACCCAUCCACCUAUAUUGUUCCUGAUCCUCAUUUUCAUGAUUUUGAUAAGGAUCGUACCGAGGAAUCUUUCCAGAGUGGUCAAGUUUGGGCUUCAUAUGGUGAUAAAGAUGGCAUGCCUCACUGUUAUGUGCUCAUUAAGAAACGUCUGUCCUUAUCACCAUUUAAGCUCGGAAUAAAUUUUCUCCACGGCGCAAGGACGAGCAAUGAAUUUGGAUCUUUCAAUUGGGUUUCUUCUGAUUUAAGAAAGACAUGUGGUGAUUUCAGGAUUGGCAUGUAUGAAACCAGCACUGCACUGGACACAUUCUCUCACCAGAUUACAUGGGAUAAAGGUCCUCGUGGGAUAAUCAGCAUUUAUCCGCAGAAAGGCGACAUAUGGGCCGUGUACCGAAACUGGUCACCUGAUUGGAAUGGAAAUACUCCUGAUAAUGUGAUGCAACUCUAUGAUCUGGUUGAGGUUCUGGAUGAUUAUGAUGCUGAGCACGGCAUUUCUGUCGCCGCAUUGAUCAAGGUUGCUGGAUUCAGAACGGUUUUUCGACGCUGCCCGGAUGGGUAUGCCAUCAAGAGGAUUAUGAAAGAAGAGAUGCUUCGGUUUUCACACCAGGUUCCUUUUUACAGGAUGACAGGGGAAGAAGCUCCAGAUGUGCCCUUGGGUUGCUAUGAGGUAGAUCCAGCUGCUCUUUCUAAAGAGCUCCUUAGGAGAUGA
rnacentral:rRNA from 1 species